rnacentral:rRNA from 1 species
CUACCCUCGGGUGGGGAAUAACUCUUCGAAAGGAGAGCUAAUGCCGACAUGUGCAUCACUUUCGCAAGGAAGUGCUGGAAAGCCGUACCGUGGGUGCGGCGUCCAAGGAUGAGCUCACGUCCUAUCAGCUUGUUGGCGGGGUAACGGCCCACCAAGGCUGCGACGGGUAGCUGGUCUGAGAGGACGACCAGCCACACUGGCACUGCGACACGGGCCAG